AUUGAACGCUGGCGGCAGGCCUAACACAUGCCAGUCGAGCGGAUGAAGGGAGCUUGCUCCUGGAUUCAGCGGCGGACGGGUGAGUAAUGCCUAGGAAUCUGCCUGGUAGUGGGGGAUAACGUCCGGAAACGGGCGCUAAUACCGCAUACGUCCUGAGGGAGAAAGUGGGGGAUCUUCGGACCUCACGCUAUCAGAUGAGCCUAGGUCGGAUUAGCUAGUUGGUGGGGUAAAGGCCUACCAAGGCGACGAUCCGUAACUGGUCUGAGAGGAUGAUCAGUCACACUGGAACUGAGACACGGUCCAGACUCCUACGGGAGGCAGCAGUGGGGAAUAUUGGACAAUGGGCGAAAGCCUGAUCCAGCCAUGCCGCGUGUGUGAAGAAGGUCUUCGGAUUGUAAAGCACUUUAAGUUGGGAGGAAGGGCAGUAAGUUAAUACCUUGCUGUUUUGACGUUACCAACGGAAUAAGCACCGGCUAACUUCGUG
rnacentral:rRNA from 1 species